UACGAAGGGGGCGAGCGUUGUUCGGAAUUACUGGGCGUAAAGGGCGCGCAGGCGGCGCUGGAAGUCAGGCGUGAAAGCCCCGGGCUCAACCUGGGAAUUGCGCUUGAUACUCUGGUGCUGGAGUUCGGGAGAGGAGAGUGGAAUUCCCAGUGUAGAGGUGAAAUUCGUAGAUAUUGGGAAGAACACCGGUGGCGAAGGCGGCUCUCUGGACCGAGACUGACGCUGAGGCGCGAAAGCGUGGGGAGCAAAC
rnacentral:rRNA from 1 species